rnacentral:rRNA from 1 species
UACGUAGGUGGCAAGCGUUGUCCGGAUUUACUGGGCGUAAAGAGCGCGCAGGCGGUCGGUCAAGUCGCGUGUGAAAGCCCCCGGCUCAACUGGGGAGGGUCACGCGAUACUGAUCGACUCGAAGGCAGGAGAGGGUAGUGGAAUUCCCGGUGUAGUGGUGAAAUGCGUGGAUAUCGGGAGGAACACCAGUGGCGAAGGCGACUACCUGGCCUGUUCUUGACGCUGAGGCGCGAAAGCUAGGGGAGCAAACGGG